GGGGACGUUACGGAUUCGACAGGGAUAGGUCGAGCUUUGGUUGCGAGCCGAGACGGCACACUCGAUAAACGGGCCAUCGCCUAUAACUGGCAAACAAGAAAACAACUUCGCUCUAGCUGCGUAAGCAGUUUUAAGCGGUCCCUCCCUCCAUCGCCCAUGUGGUAGGAUCAGGGACUCACUCUAAGUGGGCUACGCCUAAGUUCGCCGUCUGAGGGCGAGGGAAGAGAAUAAUCAGACUAGCUACUGGAAAGCCUGUCGAUAGGCCGCACUCGUAGCGAAAUACCAAUAUGUCGACUACGCUUGUAGACGCUGAAGUAUCGUUAUCUCUGGACGUGGGUUCGACUCCCACCGUCUCCACCA
rnacentral:tmRNA from 1 species